UGUUAAUUACAUUUGUAACAAUUUCACCAUAUAUCAAAUCAUUUUGUUAUAAAUCUUAAGCUUACACAAUGCUAGGUGUCAAUUAUAUCUCAAUAAAGCUGGACAAAAAAAGACCUGGAAAGUAUCUCUUGGAAACAUAAUCACCACAAGAAACAGAGCCCCUAUAUGCCAGGGUCUGUGGGAGGGUGGAGACCCAACUUUGAUAACUGUGGAUUAGUCAGCACAGAUGGCAGUAACCAUAUGACCAUCCCCCCUCCUCCAACAUCCUCCAAUACUUUUCUACUAGCUCACCCCCGUGCUUCACAACUCUCUUGUCUUUUGUUGCAGGGGAGUUGAAUUUUCUCUCUCUCUGCUACUACAAGGGCCUUAAGGAGGAAGACACCAACGCCCAGCCCAGCUUUGACCACUGGAAAUUAUAUAACCUGUUGUCUAUGUCACACACCACUGAGUUUAGCAUCUGGGCAACGAGUUAGCUGCACCGCGGGUGAGAUAAACCUUUUAAUCUAUGUACAAAGUAAGAAUCUUUUUGGCCACAGCUUUAUAACCUCUGGUGCUUUGGACCUACAAAUAAAUCACUCAUAAAAUAGAAAAUCUGGCAGAAAAUUUGGGACACUAAAAUAGCCUGCAAAUUAUUUAAUUUUAGAAAUUCAAUAACUGCUAUCAAACACACAUGAUGAAGAUGAAUGUAUCUCUUGCAAUUUUCACAGUUUGGCCCACCAGAGAAUACCUGCAAGGCAAGGUCACCAGAGCUGGGAUUGUGUUCACACUUUUGAAAUUAAGUCCUUGAUAAAGAAAAUAUCUUCACUCAAAAUUGAAACAUACAUUCACAAACAAGAAUCAACACACAAUAAAGUACUGCUUCUGACUGAACAAUUCCUGAUAGUACUCAAUGCAAGUCAAUGCCAAAAGAAUGCAUGUCACAUUACUUACUGCAGAAAAAUUGCUAUGUUAUGUAAUUACAUUCUUUUUAUAUUCACUA